GAUGAACGCUAGCGGCAGGCCUAAUACAUGCAAGACGAACGGUAAGUUGAGUAGCAAUACUUAGCCAAGAGUGUCGUACGGGUGCGUAACACGUAUGCAACCUACCCUAUACAGGAGGAUAGCCUAGGGAACUUGGAUUAACCCUUCAUAGUAUUAUUGGAUGGCAUCAUUUGAUAAUUAAAACUGAGGUGGUAUAGGAUGGGCAUGCGUCUGAUUAGUUAGUUGGCGGGGUAAUGGCCCACCAAGACGAUGAUCAGUAGGGGUUCUGAGAGGAAGAUCCCCCACACUGGCACUGAGAUACGGGCCAGACUCCUACGGGAGGCAGCAGUAGGGAAUAUUGGUCAAUGGAUGCAAGUCUGAACCAGCCAUGCCGCGUGCAGGAAGAAGGCCCUUUCUGGGGUUGUAAACUGCUUUUGCCAGGGGAUAAAAUUUCCAUGCGUGGAAAACUGAAGGUACCUGGUGAAUAAGCCACGGCUAAACUACGUGCCAGCAGCCGCGGUAAU
rnacentral:rRNA from 1 species